rnacentral:rRNA from 1 species
UACGUAGGGUGCAGGCGUUAAUCGGAAUUACUGGGCGUAAAGCGUGCGCAGGCGGUUUGCUAAGACAGGUGUGAAAUCCCCGGGCUUAACCUGGGAACUGCGCUUGUAACUGGCAAGCUAGAGUGUGGCAGAGGGGGGUGGAAUUCCACGUGUAGCAGUGAAAUGCGUAGAUAUCUGGAGGAACACCGGUGGCGAAGGCGGCAUCCUGGACCGGCAUUGACGCUGAGGCGCGAAAGCUAGGGGAGCAAACGGG